UACAAAUCAGAGCCACCAAACAGGUUCUUCUUCUGGUACCCAGAGAAGUCAGGAAGGUUCAGGGAGCAGCAGCAAUGUAAUACCUGCCUCCAGAUGUUUGUCUUCCUUCCUUCCUUAGCGAGGAAACAACAGGGGAGAGAGAAAAGCCAACUGGAAACAGAGUUCCCACCUUGGCCUUCCCACAUGGAUUAAAGCACAAGCAGCUUGCCCUUUUCCUUCUUCAGACUUCUUACAGACUAUGUAAAUGCAUGUUUGAGGAAUUUCUCCUAUGUCUGUGGAAGAAAUCCUACUCUACUUCCAUCAUCGUUUUUCCUGCAUCUUCCAUCACAGUUUCUGUAUAAUUCCACUGUCUGGCUUACUGUCAGUUAUGGACUUUCUCCCUUCUACUUCCAUAUAUUUAUAAAAUAAAGUCUUUUGGAGCUUUAUGUAUGCUGCCAGGAGAAGCUGCAAAUUCAGGAGGAAUGACUAUUCACCAGGUUGAUGGCUCCUCUCUGACUUACAGAACACAAUUCUCAUCUUCCAGCAUGGAAAGCUUCUCUCUGUGUUCCUUUGACAAUACUCAUCCCAGGGCAGCACUAGGAAUGAUGAUUUUCAUGCUUGCAUUACCCUUACAACAUUGUUAGUCAUUUCUAAAGAAAUUUUUCAAUCUGAACUUUGAGUAACGCCUUUCAAGUACACUCCAAUAGCUCCCAAGCGUCCUAAUGAUCUGCAAAGUGUGAGUUACCAUUUUCAUGUGUUUUGGCAGCAGCUGAAAGAUAUUUUCCAGUUUGCAUUAUGCACCUCCCAUCCAUCUGAUCUGUCAAACACUGUCAGCCACUUUAUAAAUCCUGAUUUUGGGACCAGUAAUGACCACAGAACAGUGGAUAUGCCAUUCCCCCAUAACUGCAACUAGCCCAUUGCCCUGCAGUCAGCUCCAUCUACGUGUGCUACUGGUUUCUGAAGGCCUGAACUGCUUCUGAUCAACGCAGUGAAGUAGAGAAAAUGGGGCUGUCAAAAGCUGCAUAUGGAAGGAAGAAAGCCCAUCAGUUACACGAGACAGUCUGUUCUCACUGCUGGAAGAUUCUCAUUGCCAUUACCUUAGUUAUAAACCACAUUCAUUGGCUCUUCCCUCAAAGUUUAAACUGUAUCACUCUACUUGCUGAUCAACCAUCAACCAUCUCCUGAGCAACAAUGUGGCAAGGCCCAACAGUGGGCCAACAUAAAGAACAAGCAUCUUAGUCCUCAGGAGGUGUGCUAACCCAAGCUGGCAUGGAAAGAACAGCUGGGUGAGGAACAAAGAAAUGAAAGUGAGCUUUGAAAUAAAUAACAAAAUAGGUUUUAAACAUUAAUAGCAAAAAUCUAUUUAAUGUCUUAUCUGUGUGUUUGGUAGCAGCAGUAGUGAUAUUACUAAAAUAGAAGAAUGCAACUUCCAGACUCAUGUUAUUAAUCAGUCAGUAUGAAUUGUGAAAAGGAGGUUGGUUAUUUUCUUCCUACUCAGCAUCACAAAUGUGGUAGUUACAGUUCACAUGCAGCAGCAUGUGGCAGUGAUGGAGUAUGAAGGUACUACAGGUAUAUUUCCUCCCACACCACCCUUCUAACCAACCCUUAAGAUGAUCCAGAGUCCAUAUGUGUACAUCAAAAGCUCAACACUGCACCACGUCCUCUUCUGAAGAGACAAACCACUUCAAACAUAGGUUUUACUUCAAACUU